UUCAGUGGAGUGAAUUAAUAUUGUGCGAGAGAAAAUUAAUCUCAAUCGCAAUGAGAUUGUUUGCGAGAAAAUAAUAAUUCUCAAUCGCAAAUCAAUAUGGUUGUGCGAGAAAAAUUUAAUUUCAAUCGCAAAACAAUGAUGCUCUUAAACAAAGAACUGCAGAAACUCAUCUGUGAUUAUGAGAAACCACAAGGGUUGGAGUAAAAACAGCCGAAGAGAUAAGGUUAUCUUCCUUUUUCUCUCAAGAGCGGUUCCUGAUGGGGAUUUCUCCCGUAACCGCCAGCGUGCAGGAGACGGGAGGCGGCGCGGCCAUGGCGCCGGCGGGCGCGGCGCACGGCCAUGGUGUGGGGCGCGUCGCAGAGCAGGCGGACGGGUGCGGGGCGCGUCGGGCUGGCACGACCAGGGGCCACGACUCUCCUUGGACCGAGGAUCCGGGCCGUGGCCCUUGCUGACGGAGCCACGGACGCCGGUGGAGGGCGGGUCGACGCGACCACGUAGCCGCCGUCGUGGGCUCUGCCACGCCGCGAUGAUGCAGGCUGCGGCCGCACAAUCAUCUUCAUACCUCCGCGGUCCAACGAUAGGACAGAUACGCACGACGACGAAUGUCCUUGUGGAGAAGAAGUAAGGCGUCGUACAUAUUCUUCUCCGUCAGUUUCUCCGUGAUUUGCUUCGUGGCUUCCUGUUCGUGAUUCAGUUCUUCUUCCACUUUUGAUUUUCCUCUCAUGGAGUUCACUGGAGUUGAAAAUCGCUGGAGUUGCCGCCGCUCUCCGCCGAGGGCACUGCAAUUCGUGUGGGCUCCUCCGACGUCUGGUACAGCAGUGACGCCGACCACCGCAAGGCAGCGGGCACCGCGCGUGGGAGGUGCCUGCCGGAUUUUACCAUCGGCAAUGGAUUUUGUGCGCCUGAGUCGCGCGAUCCUGUGGCCUAUUAGCUCAGCUGGUUAGAGCAUCGUGCUGAUAACGUGUUAGAAUAAACGAGAAAGACGGGAGACACAGAAGUAAAGUAAAUCCCUUGUUCUCAUUGAUGAUGGAUUACACAUAUAUAACCCCCGAAGGGGUGUCUCCGAAGGGACACGAGGCAACCGCCUCCUUUAGGAAAAGUAUGGAUUAAUAGGAUUAAUUAAAUCCUAACAGUUUGUA